GAAAAGUACCAACUUCUUUUUUGGCCUGUAGACUCAGACAAAACCAGCGUGGUGGACUUCAUGGGCUGUUGAGCAGAGGUGGAGUAGAGCAGCAGGGAAGAGAUAGGGCAUCCUGGACUCCCCUCACGAGUCACCGAGGGUAAUUUUCUCAGAAGUCUAGAUGAAUGCCAGUAAGCCCGCUGUCCAGACAGGGGAGGUGAUAGAGCUCGCUUUGUGUUUCCAGUUGAAAACAAAGGCUCGUUAGGAUUCGCGGCAGCCUGUGCUGCCCUGGGGCUCCAGGGACCAGCUGGCACCUGGACGGCGGCUGUGAAAAAACACUGGAGGCAGAACUCAGCUGAGCUGCAACCUCGUGAGCUCAAGUGGGGGUCACCCCUAGCUGAGGUUACCGCUGAGGGAAUGGGGUCACCCGCCCCGGGAGAACCUGAGCGGCUGCGCGGGGACGCGGACAAAAGCCGCUUUGUGGAGGCGGAGAGUCCUUCAACGGCGCCACCGUGUGGCAGCGCCGGGAAGCGGCGGCGGCGGCGGCGGGCGCCGCGGAUCCUGAGGCCGUCUCUCGCACGCCCUGACCUUCUCCCACCUUCUCUGACAGGACUCCAUGGUGACGGCCUGCCCCCUGAGGCUCUGCCCAGCUCUUAGAGGACACCACUCUCCAGGGGCUGCCCCAAACCUGGUGAUGCUCUUCAGGGCCUGGGGAGGAGGCUGAAGAGGCAGUUCUGGGCCUGAACUUCUCUGAUUCUCCCUGUCACAGCGGUUCUCAGCUCUCUCUCUCUGCCCCACCGCCAUCCCCAAACCAUCUGCAAGGUACCAACUCUUCCCCCAAUGACUCACAUCCCACCUCUGCCCCUGAGCAGCCCCCCACCCAACAUCCAGUCUUCUCAGGACUGCAACCUGCCUCCACAGUCAUCUCCCUGCUGCUGUCGUAUUUCCAGGGACAGACCAAUCAACAGUAACCAUCGUCUGCAAUCCCUUUCCCUUCCUCCUCACAUCCUGUCCCUGCCUAGAAGUGGGACAAUGUUGUGAUCCUCAUUUUACAGGUGACGGAGGCCCAUCAUGGUUCUUCUCCCAUAACGAACUCAUCCUCAGGAAGAUCACCAGUCUGGUGCCUUCACAAACCCACCUGUUCCGAGGGGCCACUUCAGCCCGGCUCUGAGAUUUCACUGCAUACAACCCACGUCUACAUUUAAGGUUUCAAAGGAAACCAGAAAAAAGGGAUUUUGCCUGCAAUUUCUCCCUGUUCUCUGGAGUGACCUAGUGCUUCCUGUGUGCUCUCUCCUCCCCCAUCCCUUGACAUGAUGGACUCUUUCCUCUUGGGAACUGAAAGAGAAGAAAAUCAUCCAUGACAAGUAGCAGCUGUCAAAUAGGAAGCUUCAUGCUCCGGAAAAAGCGCAAUCUCCCACCAUGCAAACUCAUGUACUACAGGUUCAAGUACACUUUUCUUCUGUAGGGAAAUUGGAAAGACUGAAAUGAGCUCACCCAUCAGUGUUACUUCCAGCCUUCCUUGCUUUGUGGUAUUCUACAACUCUG